GACGAACGCUGGCGGCGUGCUUAACACAUGCAAGUCGAACGGAAAGGCCCUGCUUUUGUGGGGUGCUCGAGUGGCGAACGGGUGAGUAACACGUGAGUAUCCUGCCCUUGACUUUGGGAUAACUUCAGGAAACUGGGGCUAAUACCGGCUAGGAGCUCCUGCUGCUUGGUGGGGGUUGGAAAGUUUCGGCGGUUGGGGAUGGACUCGCGGCUUAUCAGCUUGUUGGUGGGGUAGUGGCUUACCAAGCCUUUGACGGGUAGCCGGCCUGAGAGGGUGACCGGCCACAAUGGGACUGAGAUACGGCCCAGACUCCUACGGGAGGCAGCAGUGGGGAAUAUUGCACAAUGGGCGGAAGCCUGAUGCAGCAACGCCGCGUGCGGGAUGACGGCCUUCGGGUUGUAAACCGCUGUCGCCUGUGACGAAGCGUGAGUGACGGUAAUGGGUAAAGAAGCACCGGCUAACUACGUG
rnacentral:rRNA from 1 species